rnacentral:rRNA from 1 species
CACGCCCUAAACGAUGUCAACUAGGUGUUGGAAGGGUUAAACCUUUUAGUACCGCAGCUAACGCGUGAAGUUGACCGCCUGGGGANACGCGAAAAACCUUACCUACCCUUGACAUGCCAGGAACUUUCCAGAGAUGGAUUGGUGCCCGAAAGGGAGCCUGGACACAGGUGC